CCUGGCGGCGAGUGGCGAACGGGUGAGUAAUACAUCGGAACGUGCCCAAUCGUGGGGGAUAACGCAGCGAAAGCUGUGCUAAUACCGCAUACGAUCUACGGAUGAAAGCAGGGGAUCGCAAGACCUUGCGCGAAUGGAGCGGCCGAUGGCAGAUUAGGUAGUUGGUGAGGUAAAGGCUCACCAAGCCUUCGAUCUGUAGCUGGUCUGAGAGGACGACCAGCCACACUGGGACUGAGACACGGCCCAGACUCCUACGGGAGGCAGCAGUGGGGAAUUUUGGACAAUGGGCGAAAGCCUGAUCCAGCCAUGCCGCGUGCAGGAUGAAGGCCUUCGGGUUGUAAACUGCUUUUGUACGGAACGAAACGGCCUUUUCUAAUAAAGAGGGCUAAUGACGGUACCGUAAGAAUAAGCACCGGCUAACUACGUGCCAGCAGCCGCGGUAAUACGUAGGGUGCAAGCGUUAAUCGGAAUUACUGGGCGUAAAGCGUGCGCAGGCGGUUAUGUAAGACAGUUGUGAAAUCCCCGGGCUCAACCUGGGAACUGCAUCUGUGACUGCAUAGUUAGAGUACGGUAGAGGGGGAUGGAAUUCCGCGUGUAGCAGUGAAAUGCGUAGAUAUGCGGAGGAACACCGAUGGCGA
rnacentral:rRNA from 1 species